rnacentral:rRNA from 1 species
UACGGAGGAUCCAAGCGUUAUCCGGAAUCAUUGGGUUUAAAGGGUCCGUAGGCGGUUUAGUAAGUCAGUGGUGAAAGCCCAUCGCUCAACGGUGGAACGGCCAUUGAUACUGCUAAACUUGAAUUAUUGGGAAGUAACUAGAAUAUGUAGUGUAGCGGUGAAAUGCUUAGAGAUUACAUGGAAUACCAAUUGCGAAGGCAGGUUACUACCAAUAUAUUGACGCUGAUGGACGAAAGCGUGGGGAGCGAACAGG